AUUACUAACUUUACCGAACUAUAGUGGAAAUAGUAGGACCCACAAUCUUCUCUCUCAUAUUUUCUUCAUUUUGAAAUCACCUUUUCAAUUUUUUUAAGAAAUUGGUUUUACAGAUUUGUUUCUUUCCAAUUUCUCCCUCAAAUAAAUCAUAAUAUUUUUAUUCAUGCAUUAUCAUUGUCAUUCUCUAUCAUCUCAUGAUCCAACUCAAUCUAAAGAAUUUAGAAUAGUAAAAUGAGAUCUUGUCUCACGGUGCAGUCAUCGCUGACUCCACGAGACUUUCAGUGUCCAUAUGUACGCUAACGCUUUGCAUUGUCCAGCUGUACACCUAUACGCAUGGAUGCUGUUUUGUUUUAAUUUUCUUAAGUAUGUUUUCACAUUAGUUUCAUCAUAGAUGGUCAAACUAUCUUCUUCAUGUACAUAACUCUUUCGCUUCCAGCUAUCUUCUCAGUGGUGGGUUUUAUGUCUUGGUUGUUCAUGCACCCCAUUUUUAUUUUUCCAACCGGUCUUCCAUGUAUGUAUAAGUCCAAUGUACACGUGAACAAUGCAUUUUAUGUACACACUUGAGAAUACAUACAAGUCUGAUUUCGUGUACAAUGCGCUUUAUGUACACACUGGAGAAUACAUACAAGUCUGAUUUCAAUAGAGAUAGCUGAGACAGAAACUCAUUGAUAUCUCAUGUUUUUGGAAUGUUCGCUUGGGUUUAGUUGUACAUUUUAAAAGUACAGGGGUCAAAUCGUGAAACUCUGAAAAUAGAAGGGUCAAACGUGCAAAAAGCUGAGAUCUGGCCAUGGAUACCGUCGAGCUUCUUCUGCGAUUUGAUUCCGACGACGGCGAGCUGGCAAUGGAGGAGAGGACUUGUACGGUGGUUCGCAGUGGUUCGCGGAGGUUCAUGACUGAGGGAGACGACGAUUGGAGCCGCGGCGGAUGAACGGAACUGGAUCUUCUUCACGGAGGAGCUCGGCCACGAGGAAGCUUGGUUGUAGCUGCGAAGGAGAAGACGAGAUGACUCGGAGCAAUCACGGCGUGGAACGAGCCAGGACCAGGUGGUGUCGUAGGUUGAGCAGUUACACCCGUGAGGUGAAAUAUAGUUAGCAAAAAAGUAAAAUAAAUAAUGGUGAAACAGAUAGAAUUGGUGGUGGAUCAUUAAUGAUGAAGUAAAUAGAAUAGAUGGUGGGUUCUAUUAGUUGUAUUUAGUUAUGCUUUAGUCAAGGGAAAAAUGAAUUAGUUAACAAAAAGUGUCUAUGGAGAAGAAAGUGACUUAUUAUGAUAUAUAAAGUGAUAAAGUGACUGAGAAAGUAAA